GACGAACGCUGGCGGCGUGCUUAACACAUGCAAGUCGAACGGAAAGGCCCUGCUUUUGUGGGGUGCUCGAGUGGCGAACGGGUGAGUAACACGUGAGUACCCUGCCCUUUACUUUGGGAUAACUUCAGGAAACUGGGGCUAAUACCGGAUAGGAGCUCCUGCUGCAUGGUGUGGGUUGGACAGUUUCGGCGGUUGGGGAUGGACUCGCGGCUUAUCAGCUUGUUGGUGGGGUAGUGGCUUACCAAGGCUUUGACGGGUAGCCGGCCUGAGAGGGUGACCGGCCACAUGGGGACUGAGAUACGGCCCAGACUCCUACGGGAGGCAGCAGGGGGGAAUAUUGCAAAAUGGGCGGAAGCCUGAUGCAGAAACGCCGCGUGCGGGAUGACGGCCUUCGGGUUGUAAACCGAUUUCGCCUGUGACGAAGCGUGAGUGACGGUAAUGGGUAAAGAAGCACCGGCUAACUACGUG
rnacentral:rRNA from 1 species